rnacentral:rRNA from 1 species
GUGGGGGAUAUUGGACAAUGGGGGCAACCCUGAUCCAGCGACGCCGCGUGAGGGAAGAAGGUUUUCGGAUUGUAAACCUCUGUUGACGGAGAAAAAAAUGAUGGUAUCCGUUUAGAAAGCCACGGCUAACUACGUGCCAGCAGCCGCGGUAAUACGUAGGUGGCAAGCGUUGUCCGGAAUUACUGGGUGUAAAGGGAGUGUAGGCGGGAUAUCAAGUCAGAAGUGAAAAUUACGGGCUCAACUCGUAACCUGCUUUUGAAACUGACAUUCUUGAGUGAAGUAGAGGCAAGCGGAAUUCCUAGUGUAGCGGUGAAAUGCGUAGAUAUUAGGAGGAACACCAGUGGCGAAGGCGGCUUGCUGGGCUUUUACUGACGCUGAGGCUCGAAAGCGUGGGGAGCAAACAGGAUUAGAAACCCUAGUAGUCC